AUACGUAGGGGGCGAGCGUUGUCCGGAAUCAUUGGGCGUAAAGGGCGCGCAGGCGGCGAGGCACGUCCGGUGUGAAAGUGCUCGGCUCAACCGAGUGAUGCGCUGGAAACUGCCCUGCUUGAGUACAGGAGGGGACGUCGGAAUUCCAGGUGUAGGGGGGAAAUCUGUAGAUAUCUGGAAGAACACCGGUGGCGAAGGCGGACGUCUGGCCAUGUACUGACGCUGAGGCGCGAAGGUGCGGGGAGCGAACAGGUUUAGAUACCCUGGUAGUCCGCACAGUAAACGAUGUGCACCAGGUGGCGGGGAGUAGCCCUCGGUACCGAAGCCAACGCAUUAAGUGCACCGCCUGGGGAGUAUGCUCGCAAGGGUGAAACUCAAAGGAAUUGACGGGG
rnacentral:rRNA from 1 species